GAUGAACGCUGGCGGCGUGCCUAAUACAUGCAAGUCGAGCGAACAGAUAAGGAGCUUGCUCCUUUGACGUUAGCGGCGGACGGGUGAGUAACACGUGGAUAACCUACCUAUAAGACUGGGAUAACUUCGGGAAACCGGAGCUAAUACCGGAUAACAUAUUGAACCGCAUGGUUCAAUAGUGAAAGGCGGCUUUGCUGUCACUUAUAGAUGGAUCCGCGCCGUAUUAGCUAGUUGGUAAGGUAACGGCUUACCAAGGCAACGAUACGUAGCCGACCUGAGAGGGUGAUCGGCCACACUGGAACUGAGACACGGUCCAGACUCCUACGGGAGGCAGCAGUAGGGAAUCUUCCGCAAUGGGCGAAAGCCUGACGGAGCAACGCCGCGUGAGUGAUGAAGGUCUUCGGAUCGUAAAACUCUGUCAUCAGGGAAGAACAAAUGUGUAAGUAACUGUGCACAUCUUGACGGUACCUGAUCAGAAAGCCACGGCUAACUACGUG
rnacentral:rRNA from 1 species